rnacentral:rRNA from 1 species
GGAACUAGGCAAAAUGGUGCCGUAACUUCGGGAGAAGGCACGCUGACACGUAGGUGAAGUGAUUUACUCAUGGAGCUGAAGUCAGUCGAAGAUACCAGCUGGCUGCAACUGUUUAUUAAAAACACAGCACUGUGCAAACACGAAAGUGGACGUAUACGGUGUGACGCCUGCCCGGUGCCGGAAGGUUAAUUGAUGGGGUCAGCGCAAGCGAAGCUCCUGAUCGAAGCCCCGGUAAACGGCGGCCGUAACUAUAACGGUCCUAAGGUAGCGAAAUUCCUUGUCGGGUAAGUUCCGACCUGCACGAAUGGCGUAAUGAUGGCCAGGCUGUCUCCACCCGAGACUCAGUGAAAUUGAACUCGCUGUGAAGAUGCAGUGUACCCGCGGCAAGACGGAAAGACCCCGUGAACCUUUACUAUAGCUUGACACUGAACAUUGAGCCUUGAUGUGUAGGAUAGGUGGGAGGCUUUGAAGCGUGGACGCCAGUCUGCGUGGAGCCGACCUUGAAAUACCACCCUUUAAUGUUUGAUGUUCUAACGUGGACCCGUAAUCCGGGUUGCGGACAGUGUCUGGUGGGUAGUUUGACUGGGGCGGUCUCCUCCUAAAGAGUAACGGAGGAGCACGAAGGUUGGCUAAUCCUGGUCGGACAUCAGGAGGUUAGUGCAAUGGCAUAAGCCAGCUUGACUGCGAGCGUGACGGCGCGAGCAGGUGCGAAAGCAGGUCAUAGUGAUCCGGUGGUUCUGAAUGGAAGGGCCAUCGCUCAACGGAUAAAAGGUACUCCGGGGAUAACAGGCUGAUACCGCCCAAGAGUUCAUAUCGACGGCGGUGUUUGGCACCUCGAUGUCGGCUCAUCACAUCCUGGGGCUGAAGUAGGUCCCAAGGGUAUGGCUGUUCGCCAUUUAAAGUGGUACGCGAGCUGGGUUUAGAACGUCGUGAGACAGUUCGGUCCCUAUCUGCCGUGGGCGCUGGAGAACUGAGGGGGGCUGCUCCUAGUACGAGAGGACCGGAGUGGACGCAUCACUGGUGUUCGGGUUGUCAUGCCAAUGGCACUGCCCGGUAGCUAAAUGCGGAAGAGAUAAGUGCUGAAAGCAUCUAAGCACGAAACUUGCCCCGAGAUGAGUUCUCCCUGAGACUUAGAGUCUCCUGAAGGAACGUUGAAGACGACGACGUUGAUAGGCCGGGUGUGUAAGCGCAGCGAUGCGUUGAGCUAACCGGUACUAAUGAACCGUGAGGCUUAACCUUACAACGCC